UUAGGGGAAUUAAGUAGGUGAAAGUUCCAGCCUCUCCUCUCCUUCCUUAUGGCAGCUUGGAAGCUGACACUGCGCAUACAGGAACAACAGGAGUUUUCCCUGCAAUUUUUAUUUUUAUUUCUAUUUUUUGCUUUGAAAAGGCUUCAUAGUCUGCACAAGUAGACCUCGGCUUACGACCGACGUUGUGCCCAAAAUUUUCAUUGCUACGCAAGGCAGUUGUUACGCGCAAAGAAUCAGGACCGUUCGUAAGGUGUCAGCAUAGAAGAUUUACACAAGCCUAUAUGCAAGAAAUCUGAACAGCUGAAGUUCAACACUAAAUUGGUGCCAGGGUCUCUGUUCCAACUGAAAGCCCGCGAACUUCAUUCAAGAAAAGUACAUGAAUAAAAUCGAAGCAUAUGUAAAUAAAAAUUAAUCGAUGCCGUGAAAUAUGUUGCUGGGACUAUAAUUAAAACCUAACUUGGAACGUGUGAUUACACU